UAGCACAAAAUCGUCUUUAGCUUAUGCUAUAGUCUCGCCCUGCCCCUUCAAAGGGUGCCUAACUUUUGCCUUGUAUCUGCCAUACAACUUACAAAGUAGAGGUAGGCGAUAUGAUACAUGAUACUGUACUCAUAUCCAUUGCCAAGUACUCUAUACCAAAUCCUGGCAUCAAGUAGAGUAGUGACCACACCUGCUUUGACGUCAUGAUUCAAAUUUUCUGGUAUCACCACCUCUAUUUCAAAGUGCAUUUGUUAAUGGAAGGGGGGAAGCUUAAUAUGGGAGGUGAUUAGUGCCAAAAUUAGGAUACAGUUUUUUUAAAUGUGGCAUUGUUAUCAUCAGCGAGCAGAGGAAUAGGAUACCUAUAUUUUGAUCCAGAUGAUCCCAAUUCAUUUCACUACAUAUGUCCGUGUAACACCUGCUCUAAACGUACAAUUAAAUCAACUUUUUCUUAAAUUAUAUAUUAUAUUUUAUUUAUUUAUUUCUUUUCUUUCUGGGUGUUAGGACCUUGUUCCCAACAUUCCCCAGGACUACUUACUCUAAGUAUCUAUACUUUAUGCGUUGCUCCUUUAUUCUAUAUCCUGUAAAAUUGUUUAAUAAUAAUAAUAAUAAUAAAUAAUAAUAUCGAUGAAUAAAUUAGAAUAGAUUACUAAGAUUAGAUUAAUUAAUAGGCAAUAAUAGCACAUGACAUGCUAGUCUCGCUAGCCAGACUUUAAUUUACCGAAUAUGAGAAGAAAAAUUCGAUAAAUUAGAGUCUGGCUAGCGAGACUAAUGACAUGCCACGUGGAGCAUAAUAUUGAGGUGUAAAAUGGCGGAAAGAGACAGUGCCAGCGGAGCUGAUAGCACAGAGGCCGUGCUGAGUAACCUAACCACACUUCUCCAGGAUACUGUAAACCGCUUAGAAGGUAGAGCCUCAGUCUGUUAUUAUAAGAUUUAACCUAUGACCAACCUUUGUUUAUAUAACCGGCUCUAGGCAGGCAGAUUAGUAAACCAGCAGCAACCACAGCGUUUGUAGUACAACCGUCAGCACCACAAGUAUUUGCUACUAAAAUUCAUUCUGUCAGAUCUGAGAGAACGACACCAGUUCCUAGUAAUUUCUCGUGGAACCCAGGCUCUAGUACUAGCAGCAGUUCCCAGGCUUGCGGCAAGAAAAGGAAGUCCAAGGAAGACUUUGGAAAGAGUCGGCAUCCAAAGCGAAGGAAAGUUGCAACUUGGACUCACACAUUUGUGUGCUUAGCUAACAAACAGCAAGAUAUCAUCCCUGAUAGUAAUGAAAGAGCUAAGCUACAAUUGGCUGGGCUUGGAGAAAAAAAGAUCUCAAUGUAUGCAAAUGCAGAUGUAAUCCAAGAGCUCAGUUUUAUUUACUUUUCCAAAAUUGGCCCAAUCUGGGGGAUUUGAGCUACUAAGGGUAUCAGAAGGUCGAGGAAGGUGUCUUGAUGUUAUUGAAUGCCCAAGGGAAGGCUAUAACGCAGCCUACUUGAAAGCAGUAGUGCAUAACGCCGAAGUAUAUGUGAGGCCACUGCAAAGGAACCUAUCCAUAGAAGAAAGUCCAACUGUAGAAGAUGAAUUCCUAGAUGUACCAAAGGAGAAGUGUUUAAACUGUGACGAAAUGGUGCUUGUUGCUGAACUGAAAGAUCAUCUUAUUUCUUGCAGUAGGUCUACAACGAGUACUGACAUCUACACUGAGGAAGACACAUUUCAAUUUGAUGACUCUAUGGUUCAGACCUAUUUUAACCCAGUAUUGGAUGUGGUAUUAUAUACAACAGAAAUUAAUGAUACCAGCAAUGAGCAGCUGUCAAUUAAACAAAUAAUACAGUCGGGCAGCCAAGCAACCGGAAGUCCAUAUAAAUUGUGUAUAAACCUAUUUCUCGUUCAUUGAGCAACUGCGUGGGUGGUAGCGUACAUAGAUACAUGGAAACUUGGAUAGAAUCAGAGAACUAUCACAGCAAUGGACUUGCCACAAUGAGAGAUAAAGUGCUUGAUCAAUAGAGCACAUCAUUUAUGAAAACAGCAAAGCUACGCUGUUUUAUGGGGAACUUACAGCUAAUUUUGAACACAAUAAUUCUAUUCAUUAGAAAAACUUUCCCUCACAAGGAAUACUUGUAAGACAACAAUUACCUUGUAAAGAUACCUUUUAAGUACCACAUACCAAAAUUUCAUGAUUGCACUCCAAAGAAUACUGAAGUUACAAUUUUUUUAUUGUUAAGUAUAAUUAAAUUAAUUAAAAUUUAUUAUUAAAAUUGUAAUAAAUCAUGA